UUGUAUUGUUAAAUUGAAUUUUCACUUUCUCAAUUAUUAUUUUUGUAACUAGAGAAUAAGUGAGGGGAUUCACAAUAUAAUUUGUCUUUUACUAAUAGUUUUUGGCUGGGCAUGGUCAUACAUGCCUGAAAUACCAAUGACUCUGGAGGCAGCAGGAUGACAAGUUGGAGGCCAGCCUCCACAAUUUAGUGAGACCUGUCUCAAAGUAAAAAAAUAAAAAGGGCUGGGGAUGUAAUUCCAUGGUAGAGCUUCCCUGGAUAAUCCCCAGUGAGAGAAAAAAUAAAGACAAAUUUUCAUUUUGAAGAAUAAAUUAAAAGUCACCUGAAAAGCCCGUCUGGUAUUUUCCUUUGUUGCCUGAUAUGUCAAUUUUUUAUCAUGACUCUCUU
rnacentral:lncRNA from 1 species